UGUCCACCCACCGUGCCGACAGUCUGGCUUCUCUUGAGCAUGAGCUGACUAAUUCCAACAACACUGCUGACUGUCUGGCUUCUCAGAAGGCAGAGUCAAUUGAUUCUACCAAUGCUACUGAUUGUUUGGCUUCUGUUGGGACUGAGACAACUAUGUCCACCCACCCUGCUGACAAUAUGGCUACUGAUGAGCUUGAGCCUACACAUUCCACCAAUGCUGCUUACUGUCUGGCUGCUCUUGAGCCUGAGUCGACUAAAUCCUCCAGUGCUGCUGACUGCCUGGCCUAUGUUGAGCCAGAGCCAGCUAUGUCCACCCACCGUGCCGACAGUCUGGCUGCUCUUGACCAUGAGCUGUCUCAUGCCAACAAAUAUGCUGGCUGUCUGGCUUCUCUCAAGGCUGAGCUGAUUAAUUCCACCAAUGCUACUGAUUGUCUGGCUUCUGUUGGGACUGAGACAACCAAGUCCACCCAGCCUGCUGACAGUUUGGCAGCUGUUGAGCCUGAACAUAAUAAUUCCACCAAUGCUGCUGACGGUCUGGACUCUAUUGAACAAGAGCCAGCUAUGCCCACCCACCGUUCUGACAGUCUGGCUGCUCUUGAGCAUGAGCUGUCUCAUGCCAAUAAAGCUGCUGACUGUCUGGCUUCUCUCAAGGCUGAGCCAACCAUGUCCACCCAGCCUGCUGACACUUUGGCAUCUGUUGAGCCUGAGCCUACUUUUUCCACCAAAGCUGCUGAUUGUCUGGCUACUGUUCAGCCUGAGCUAACUAAGUCAAACCACCCUGCUGACUGUCUGGAUUCUGUUCAGCCUGAGUCAUCUAUGUCCCCACACCCUGCUGACAGUUUGGUAGCUAUUGAGCCUUCACUGACUAAUUCCACCAAAGCUGCUGACUUUCUGGGUGCUGUUGAUCCCGAAUCAACCAAAUCCACCCACCCUGCUGACAGUAUGGCAGUUGAUGAGCCUGAGCUGCCUAAUUCCAACAUUGCUGCUGACUGUCUGGACGACCUUGAGCCUGAUACGACUAUUUCUACCAAUGCCGCUGACUGUCAGGCUGCUGUUGGGUCUGAGACAACCAUGUCCACCCAGCCUGCUGACAGUUUGGCAGCUGUUGAGCCUGAGCCGACUAAUUCCACCAAAGCUGCUGACUGUCUGGACUCUGCUGAGCCAGAGCCAACUAUGGCCACCCACCAUGCUGACAUUCUGACUGCUGUUGAGCCUGAACAUACUAAUUGCUCCAGUACUGCUGACUGUCUGCCUGCUGUUCAGCCUGAGUCCAGUAUGUCCACCCACCCUGCUGACAGUAUGGCUGCUAUUGAUGCUGAGCCUACAGAUCCUGCCAUUGUUGCUGACUGUCUGGCUGCUCUUGAACCUCGGCUGUCUGUUACAUGUGCUGCUGACAGUAGUGUGUUAGUUGAGAGUCAUGACUCAGGACCAGCUAGUCACAUUGGAUUGGAUUAUGUUGUUGAUUUACCUCUUUACAAGGAGAGUACAAGUGAAGAAGAAAUAUUUGAUUCUGCUACUUCAGAUGAGGAAUCUUCUUUUACCCCUGACGUAGAAGAAGGUCUGCCUGCUACUCAGGGUGCUGAGGAUAUUUUUCAUGCUUCCGCACGAGCUGAACCAAUAAACCACAGCUUGAACCUUCUCAGGGAGAGUGGAUAUCUUCGGGCAACAGAGAUA
ensembl:lncRNA